rnacentral:rRNA from 1 species
AUUGAACGCUGGCGGCAUGCUUUACACAUGCAAGUCGAACGGCAGCGGGGGCUUCGGUCCGCCGGCGAGUGGCGAACGGGUGAGUAAUGCAUCGGAACGUGCCCAGUCGUGGGGGAUAACACAUCGAAAGAUGUGCUAAUACCGCAUACGUCCUGAGGGAGAAAGCGGGGGAUCUUCGGACCUCGCGCGAUUGGAGCGGCCGAUGUCGGAUUAGCUAGUUGGUGGGGUAAAGGCCCACCAAGGCGACGAUCCGUAGCGGGUCUGAGAGGAUGAUCCGCCACACUGGGACUGAGACACGGCCCAGACUCCUACGGGAGGCAGCAGUGGGGAAUUUUGGACAAUGGGGGCAACCCUGAUCCAGCCAUGCCGCGUGAGUGAAGAA